ACUUCUCCUGAACAGGGUUUCCUGUCAUACUCAUGAUGGGCAGGACAAAGGGCAGGGUCUUUUGAAAUGUUAAUUCUCAUUCAUGUAAAGUUUUGCUUCAGAAGAAGGCUUUUACCUUUGUGUGGUAAUGAGUUUCAAGAGAUUACCAUGUGGGUCUGAUAUUUUCAAAGAGGUCAAGUUGUACAUCUUUUGAGGAGUGCCAAGGAAAUGUUCGUUGCGCAGUGAUGACGUCAUCCAGCUGCUUCACAUCUUCGAGGGAGUUCAGAGAGAGAAAAUAUGAUUCCACAAACUGUAGAAAGUUUUCCAAAUGAAUAAUUAGCCCGUGAGAGCAUUGCACGAGCAGAAUCAAAAUCCUCAAACAAUGAAGGUCCAUCAGAAAGAAAAAUCUUCAGCCUUGCUGGAAACAAGAGGGCACCACUGAUCACUGUGGCACUGAUCCUGGGAUUGCCAUCUGAAAGCAUUUACUAUUACAAAGCAAGAUCUAGAACAGCUAAAGGCACAGAAAGAUCUUUUGUGUGCUAAGCAAAAACUGUUCAUUUUAUUUUUACAAAUUUAAGUUGGUAAUAGCUAGCAUAGCAGUUUCUUAUUGAAGAGAAGCACUGACAUCAGAAGUAAUUAUGCACAGUGAUAUGUAGAAUAUACCCUUACAUGUUCUGUAUGAAGAACUUGAAACAUAUAGCGCAUGGCCUAUCUACCCAACUUGCAAAUUUUAAAUGAGAGCAAGAACAUAUGGAGUACGUCUUUCACAUAUGCAGACUAAUAAUUUAACGUAAAGAGGUGUCCUGUUUAAUUGCACAGUUUAGUCCCUUUUGGCAAGUGUUUAUAUUAACAGCAACAACAAUAAUAAUAUAAGACCAUUGCCAAGAAUAUAUAAUCUAAUCUGAACCACAUUUUAAUUACAUUUUCAUCAGAUUUUGGUAUUGGCAGCUUUUGUUGCAAUGUAGUUACAAGAUAUUGUGCAUUUUGACUAAGCACAUUUGCAUUUUGAUUUUCCAAAGUAAGUGAUAUCAGGCAGGCAGCUGAUACUGUGUAACAUAAUAUUUUGGGGUUCAUAAACAAGUGCUUUGCACCUGAACAUUGCUAAAUGUCAGUUAUAUCUGGUCUAGUUUUUUUAACACUAGCAAGUACAAUGUGUUUGAUUUUGAGAUGUUUAACAACAUAUAUCCUUAUGUCAUUAAUAAAGAAGUUAUACCUGA